CACUCCUGCGGGAGGCAGCAGUGGGGAAUAUUGCACAAUGGGCGCAAGCCUGAUGCAGCCAUGCCGCGUGUAUGAAGAAGGCCUUCGGGUUGUAAAGUACUUUCAGCGGGGAGGAAGGCAAUACGGUUAAUAACCGUGUUGAUUGACGUUACCCGCAGAAGAAGCACCGGCUAACUCCGUGCCAGCAGCCGCGGUAAUACGGCGGGUGCAAGCGUUAAUCGGAAUUACUGGGCGUAAAGCGCACGCAGGCGGUCUGUCAAGUCGGAUGUGAAAUCCCCGGGCUCAACCUGGGAACUGCAUUCGAAACUGGCAGGCUUGAGUCUUGUAGAGGGGGGUAGAAUUCCAGGUGUAGCGGUGAAAUGCGUAGAGAUCUGGAGGAAUACCGGUGGCGAAGGCGGCCCCCUGGACAAAGACUGACGCUCAGGUGCGAAAGCGUGGGGAGCAAACAGGAUUAGAUACCCUAGUAGUCCCAUGAU
rnacentral:rRNA from 1 species